UACGGGGGGGGCAAGCGUUGUUCGGAAUUACUGGGCGUAAAGGGCUCGUAGGCGGCCCGCUAAGUCGAACGUGAAAUCCCCGAGCUCAACUCGGGAACUGCGUCCGAUACUGGUGGGCUUGAAUCCGGGAGAGGGAUGCGGAAUUCCAGGUGUAGCGGUGAAAUGCGUAGAUAUCUGGAGGAACACCGGUGGCGAAGGCGGCAUCCUGGACCGGCAUUGACGCUGAGGCGCGAAAGCUAGGGGAGCAAACGGG
rnacentral:rRNA from 1 species